rnacentral:misc_RNA from 1 species
UUGGUUUGUUACGGGUGGUUGGAUGUCUUCUAGCGAAGCAACGUCCAUGCGUACUUUCCUCUUCAUUUAUGUAGCAAGGCUUGUUUUGUUUUGCUCGUAUUUGGGUUUGCUGUAUUGCGUACCUAAUCAAAGGCAUUGUGUGGACCGAUCAGAGAUGUUUUCGGCAUGCAUCACAAUUGCGGUGUGUGACGGACAAGGAAGUGGACUUUGUAACCCAUCUCGCGUUGUUAUCACUUCGACGAUGUGGCUUGCUAAGUUCUGCUUGGUCUCUUGGAUACUGAACCUGAUGUGGGCAUGGGAUCCUAAACAAUCCUUUUUUGCCCUCGUUUAGCGUUCUCGCUUCUCUAAAACGAUCACUCGUCAUGUGUUGGCAUGUCCUUGCAUGGUGGGUUGCAUCGAAGAGGAAUGCUACCUGGUUGAUCCUGCCAGUAGUCAUAUGCUUGUCUCAA